GCCGAACUCUGGCGGCGCGCCUAACACAUGCAAGUCGAACGAGCGAGAGGGAGCUUGCUUUCUCGAGCGAGUGGCGAACGGGUGAGUAACGCGUGAGGAACCUGCCUCAAAGAGGGGGACAACAGUUGGAAACGACUGCUAAUACCGCAUAAGCCCACGGUGCCGCAUGGCACAGAGGGAAAAGGAGCAAUCCGCUUUGAGAUGGCCUCGCGUCCGAUUAGCUAGUUGGUGAGGUAAUGGCCCACCAAGGCGACGAUCGGUAGCCGGACUGAGAGGUUGAACGGCCACAUUGGGACUGAGACACGGCCCAGACUCCUACGGGAGGCAGCAGUGGGGAAUAUUGCACAAUGGGGGAAACCCUGAUGCAGCGACGCCGCGUGGAGGAAGAAGGUCUUCGGAUUGUAAACUCCUGUUGUUGGGGAAGAUAAUGACGGUACCCAACAAGGAAGUGACGGCUAACUACGUG
rnacentral:rRNA from 1 species